AUUGAACGCUGGCGGCAGGCCUAACACAUGCAAGUCGAGCGGCAGCGGGAAAGUAGCUUGCUACUUUUGCCGGCGAGCGGCGGACGGGUGAGUAAUGCCUGGGAAAUUGCCCAGUCGAGGGGGAUAACAGUUGGAAACGACUGCUAAUACCGCAUACGCUCUACGGGGGAAAGCAGGGGACCUUCGGGCCUUGCGCGCUGGGACAUGCCCAGGUGGGAUUAGCUAGUUGGUGAGGUAAUGGCUCACCAAGGCGACGAUCCCUAGCUGGUCUGAGAGGAUGAUCAGCCACACUGGAACUGAGACACGGUCCAGACUCCUACGGGAGGCAGCAGUGGGGAAUAUUGCACAAUGGGGGAAACCCUGAUGCAGCCAUGCCGCGUGUGUGAAGAAGGCCUUCGGGUUGUAAAGCACUUUCAGCGAGGAGGAAAGGUUGAUGCCUAAUACGUAUCAACUGUGACGUUACUCGCAGAAGAAGCACCGGCUAACUCCGUGCCAGCCGCCGCCGUAACAC
rnacentral:rRNA from 1 species